rnacentral:rRNA from 1 species
AACGCGAAGAACCUUACCUGGUCUUGACAUCCACGGAAGUUUUCAGAGAUGAGAAUGUGCCUUCGGGAACCGUGAGACAGGUGCUGCAUGGCUGUCGUCAGCUCGUGUUGUGAAAUGUUGGGUUAAGUCCCGCAACGAGCGCAACCCUUAUCCUUUGUUGCCAGCGGUCCGGCCGGGAACUCAAAGGAGACUGCCAGUGAUAAACUGGAGGAAGGUGGGGAUGACGUCAAGUCAUCAUGGCCCUUACGACCGGGGCUACACACGUGCUACAAUGGCGCAUACAAAGGGAAGCGACCUCGCGAGAGCAAGCGGACCUCAUAAAGUGCGUCGUAGUCCGGAUUGGAGUCUGCAACUCGACUCCAUGAAGUCGGAAUCGCUAGUAAUCGUGGAUCAGAAUGCCACGGUGAAUACGUUCCCGGGCCUUGUACACACCG